UGUGUAAGUAUAAAUAAUUUUACUUUGAAACUGCGAAUGGCUCAUUAUAUCAGUUAUAGUUUAUUAGAAAUACUUUACUACUUGGAUAACCGUAGUAAUUCUAGGGCUAAUACAUGACUAAAUCCUCAACUUCGGAAGAGGUGUGUUUAUUAGUAUGAAAACCAUAUAUCUUCGGAUAUAAUAGUGAGUAAUAAUAACCUUUCRUAUCGUAUGUCGUAAGAUAACGAUAGUUCUUUCAAGUUUCUGCCCUAUCAGCUUUCGAUGGUAGUAUAUGGGACUACCAUGGCAGUAACGGGUAACGAAGAAUUUGGGUUCGAUUUCGGAGAGGGAGCCUGAGAGAUGGCUACCACAUCCAAGGAAGGCAGCAGGCGCGUAAAUUACCCAAUCCUGACAUAGGGAGGUAGUGACAAUAAAUCACAAUGCGGAACUAUUUAGUUUUGCAAUUGGAUUGAGAACAAUGUACAAAUGUUAUCGAUAAACAAUUGGAGGGCAAGUCUGGUGCCAGCAGCCGC
rnacentral:rRNA from 1 species